UGGUGAUGAUGGCGAAGAGGUCACACCCGUUUCCAUACCGAACACGGAAGUUAAGCUCUUCAGCGCCGAUGGUAGUCGGGGGUUUCCCCCUGUGAGAGUAGGACAUCGCCAGGCA
rnacentral:rRNA from 1 species